rnacentral:rRNA from 1 species
GACAGAGGUGGCGAGCGUUGUUCGGAAUCACUGGGCUUAAAGGGCGCGUAGGUGGUAGUGUAAGUCUGAGGUGGAAUCCUGCGGCUUAACCGCAGAACUGCCUUGGAAACUGCAUUACUUGAGUCAGUGAGGGGAGGGUAGAAUUCCCGGUGUAGCGGUGAAAUGCGUAGAUAUCGGGAGGAAGGCCUGUGGCGAAGGCGGCCCUCUGGCGCUGGACUGACACUGAGGCGCGAAAGCGUGGGGAG